UACGUAGGUGACAAGCGUUGUCCGGAUUUACUGGGCGUAAAGGGCUCGUAGGCGGCCAACUAAGUCGGACGUGAAAUCCCUCAGCUUAACUGGGGAACUGCGUCCGAUACUGGAUGGCUUGGAUUUGGGAGAGGGAUGCGGAAUUCCAGGUGUAGCGGUGAAAUGCGUAGAUAUCUGGAGGAACACCGGUGGCGAAGGCGGCAUCCUGGACCAACAUUGACGCUGAGGAGCGAAAGCUAGGGGAGCAAACGGG
rnacentral:rRNA from 1 species